UAAAAGGGUGCUCGCUAAAAUCGAUACAAUCGUUAAGGCGCAUUGCAAUAGUUCUGUUUUAAAUUGAACAGACUAUUCCAGUGGGGUAUGGCUUUACAUAUCCAGUGCAUAAUUUUUUUCUAAGUUGGGGGAUUGUAGGCUGCGAUACAUUGCGCCAAGCAUCCCC